AUUGAACGCUGGCGGCAUGCCUUACACAUGCAAGUCGAACGGCAGCGCGGACUUCGGUCUGGCGGCGAGUGGCGAACGGGUGAGUAAUAUAUCGGAACGUGCCCCGGAGGGGGGGAUAACCAGUCGAAAGACUGGCUAAUACCGCAUACGAUCUACGGAUGAAAGUGGGGGAUCACAAGACCUCAUGCUCGUGGAGCGGUCGAUACUUGAUUAGCUAGUUGGUGGGGUAAGAGCCCACCAAGGCAACGAUCAGUAGCUGGUCUGAGAGGACGACCAGCCACACUGGGACUGAGACACGGCCCAGACUCCUACGGGAGGCGGCAGUGGGGAAUUUUGGACAAUGGGGGCAACCCUGAUCCAGCAAUGCCGCGUGUGUGAAGAAGGCCUUCGGGUUGUAAAGCACUUUUGUCCGGAACGAAACGGUGAAGGUUAAUACCCUUUGCUACUGACGGUACUGGAAGAAUAAGCACCGGCUAACUACGUGCCAGCCGCCGCGGUAA
rnacentral:rRNA from 1 species